rnacentral:rRNA from 1 species
UACGUAGGGUGCAAGCGUUGUCCGGAAUUAUUGGGCGUAAAGAGCUCGUAGGCGGCCUGUCGCGUCGGCUGUGAAAACCCGGGGCUCAACCCCGGGCCUGCAGUCGAUACGGGCAGGCUAGAGUCCGGCAGGGGAGACUGGAAUUCCUGGUGUAGCGGUGAAAUGCGCAGAUAUCAGGAGGAACACCGGUGGCGAAGGCGGAUCUCUGGGCCGAUACUGACGCUGAGGAGCGAAAGCGUGGGGAGCGAACAGG